rnacentral:rRNA from 1 species
UAGGGAAUCUUCGGCAAUGGGGGGAACCCUGAUCGAGCAACGCCGCGUGAGUGAAGAAGGUUUUCGGAUCGUAAAGCUCUGUUGUUAAGGAAGAACGAGUGUGAGAAUGGAAAGUUCAUGCUGUGACGGUACUUAACCAGAAAGGGACGGCUAACUACGUGCCAGCAGCCGCGGUAAUACGUAGGUCCCGAGCGUUGUCCGGAUUUAUUGGGCGUAAAGCGAGCGUAGGCGGUUAGAAAAGUCUGAAGUGAAAGGCAGUGGCUCAACCAUUGUAGGCUUUGGAAACUGUUUAACUUGAGUGCAGAAGGAGAGAGUGGAAUUCCAUGUGUAGCGGUGAUAUGCGUAGAUAUAUGGAGGAACACCGGUGGCGAAAGCGGCUCUCUGGUCUGUAACUGACGCUGAGGCUCGAAAGCGUGGGGAGCGAACAGG